rnacentral:rRNA from 1 species
AUACGGAGGGUGCAAGCGUUACUCGGAAUCACUGGGCGUAAAGCGCGCGCAGGCGGCUAUUUAAGUUGGAUGUGAAAGCCUACGGCUCAACCGUAGAACUGCAUCCAAAACUAUUUAGCUAGAGUAUGGGAGAGGAAGAUGGAAUUAGUUGUGUAGGGGUAAAAUCCGUAGAGAUAACUAGGAAUACCAAAAGCGAAGGCAAUCUUCUGGAACACUACUGACGCUGAGGCGCGAAAGCGUGGGGAGCAAACAGGAUUAGAAACCCUAGUAGUCC